GUUUGAGUUCAAAAUAAGGAAUUAUUAUGGAAAAGGAGGAGAUAGGGAAUAUUGAGGAAAAUAGGGGAAUAAAUGUAGAAAUAUUUCUACUUUCAUUCUCUUAUUUGCCUCUAUAUUCCCUAUCACCUUUUCCAUAAUUCCUUAUUUUGAACUCAAACAUUUACCUCUAUUUUACCCUCUCGCAUUGUCUCUGAUGAAGGGAUAUCCAUAAUAUCCCAGAAACAGCUGUAAGUCUAUAUCUCUUUCCCUACAAAUGUCCUGAAAACUCCUCACAGCCUUAGCUUUGUAAUCUCUUUUUCUCUUAUAUAUAUAUAAUCUUUGUACUUUCUUUUAUGAUGUGAAUCGAAUUUUAUUUCUGAACACUCUUUCAGAAUGCUCAUUCACAUAAAAAGCUAGUUUAGUUGAUAUUUACUAAUGCUAUUGAGCAUUGAUUUAGUUACUCUUGUCACUAAACUUUUAGCAUUUUCAUGUCUCUUUUAUUAACAUUUGUGUAAGACAGAUCUUGUCCUAUUUUGAGGAAUCUAUACAGCCCAUCCUGCUUAGCUUCUAACAGAACUCUCUUACAUAUUACAAGCUCUACAGUCUAUUUUUGUGAUUAGCUGAAGUUACAACCUGCUCUUACAUCUUUUAGAAAAUGUUACAUCCCAUUUGUAUCUUUCUGUUUUUGUUUUUUUUUUCCUUCUCUAUAAACAAAAAAUGUAUCCUGCUUUUUUGGCUUAUACAGUAACUGUGUAUUGUCUUGUUAACAGCAAACUGGUGUUCAGACUUGGACUAUUUUGGUUUGAACUAUAGUUGUUGACUAGCCAAAUUUAUUUUAAGCAGGGGUUAUGGACUGGCCUUUUUUAGUACUGGUAAACAUUACUUCCUGCUAUGAUACUGUUAUUGUUUAUGGGUCUUUAUUUUUCCCUCAGAAAUAAAAGAUAAAUGCUUAGAUUCAUUGGAACUAUAUCUAGUUUUAUGUUAAUACAUGCAUUCAUUCUGUUUAUAAUAAACAUAUUAAGAAACGAAACAGACACACAUUUAGAAUUGUUAUGGAAGACCGGCAAUCUUGUUGGAGCAUUAAUUAUCAGUGAUAACAAAGAUAUUUAACUGUUACUUGAAGACAUUUUGUUAGUCCUAAUGCUUUGGAUAAAAAUUACCUUUUUCAAAUUUAAAAAAAUCUCCUUUUGAAGAGGAGUAUUUUACUUGAAAUAUCAAUUCUAAUUAAAUAUUUCUAAAGUAACUCUUCAAAAUCUUUGUUAAUAUUAUUAUUUGGUGUUUAAUGUUCCAACUAUACGGCCGUUGCAAAAAGCUUCUUUCUAUAAGCACUCUAUUUUCUAUAUAUCCAGCAAUGCUUCGAGAAAACUGGUUUGUAUGUACAUAGGAACAUGUGUUUAGGUUAAACAAGUUUCCCAACUAUUCAGUGUAUUAUUUCAAAAUUUCAACUAUAAUCUUAAGUUGGUGUUAGAUACUUUAUUCAAAGUUUCUACCUUCCAUACACACACACAUAUUACAAUACACACACAUUGUACACAUUUCAAUAAUAAUGUUCUGAAAUAUUCUCUAAUUCUGUGAUUAUUGGAUAGGAUUUGUUGAUUUAAUAAGAGGUGCUUCCAAAUUCACUGUUUUACUCACACAAGUUAACUAUAUAAAGGAACACUAAACAUAAUUGAUAUUUGUUUCAUAUAAUGUACACAUGUUUCAGAAAACCGGUCACCAUAAAUUAUUCAAGCCUAAAGAUUCUUGUUUUGCAACUAAUGCAGCCAGCACACUUCGUCGGUAUUAUUGGUAAAAGUACAACACAAAUUUGCUGGCCUUUACAUUCGCCUGUAUGCAAAUAAGUAAUCAGGUUGUCAAAAGAGAAAUGGAGUCGAUGGUGAAGGAAGUAAGAGCCUCCAUUCUGUUGCUCUACUCACACAUGCUUUUUUACCAUCUCGCUUCCUUCUUUUAUGAUAACCUAACUAUUUAUUUGCAUGCUAGUAUAUACAUGGACCUGCAUCAUUCUUUGUGUUGUACUUUUGCCAUAAAUGCUUAAGUGUGCCAGUGCAUUUGUGUAACAAAGCCUUUUGAAUUGAGUAAAUUAUAGCGGCAGCUUUUUGAAACACGUGUGCUUUAUAUAAGCCAUAAAUACUGAUUAGACGUGGUACACUCACAUAUCUGGAUUUCUGAAACUCGCCGAACUCAAGUGAAAUGUGAAAUUAUUUAACGUGCCCAAACCUUUGGCAACUAGUCGCACCUUCCAGUGCAUCUUUUGGAUUAUAUAUAUAUUGGACAGGUUCUGAAUUUGUGCUAUUUGAAAAAAAUUUAUAACUUACGUAUCAGUUACAAUUUCAUUUUAUAAUAAUAUUUAGAUUACGGUAUGUGAUCCCUUCAGUUAAAUAAUUAAAAGAAGCAAAACUUUCAGUACGGACCUAAUUGGGUUUUUUUAAAAUCCUACCCUGCUGUCCCUACGACUUCCAAGGUUAUUGCAUGUCCAUCGGAAGGUGUUUAGCCUAGUAGUAAGGGUGUUGUACUCACGAUCGGAAGUUUGUAGGUUCGAGUCCCUAGCUUGGCGGUACGUUGUGUUCUUGAGUAAAACAUUUCAUUUCACGUUGCUCCAGUCCACUCAGUUGUGAGUUACCCGCAACGGACUGGCGUCCCGUUCCGGAGGAAUGCUAUGAUCUCAGUCACACUCCAUGGCCUCGAGACAGUACUCACGUGGUAUGCUGUAUCUACAAACACCCCUAACGUUAAUUACAGUUAAACAAUUGUGAUGAUAAUCUGAGUUAAGAUUUUCUUUUCUAAACAUUAAAUAUUUUCUAUUAUUCAGAAUAUUCCAAAUUAUAUGGAAUUUAUUCUUUUUUGUUUUCCACCCAAAAACUCUUCUAAGUAUAAAAACAUCUUAAAUCUUAAAAUCUUAUUCAGCUUGUUAUAGGAAGGGCUUAUGCUCUUUCAUUUUCAUCGAAGACCUGAAGUAAUUAAGUCUUUAUCUCUAACCUUUGAGCACUUACUAAUCACCUCUAUCUUCCAUAUUUUUUUACCAUCUCGAUAUAUAAUGCUAUUAAGUUGCUUGUGUGAAACACGACCAUGUACAGCAACGAGUGGCUUUAUCUGAUUGGCUUCAAACUAACUAUUAUUAUCAUUAUGAUACAGCACUCAUCACACUAGAAAAUAACUGGAUAAUUCUUUAUUUCUUAAGUUCUAAACUUUACCUUAGUCUGAGAUACAAUGUUACGGGUUUUUAACGAGUAUUUCUAUCCCCUCUCUACACAAAUUUUUGCUGAGGAACUCAAGUACAUAAUAGCUAAUCGUUUGUACUUCUUAAUUAUUUUAAUUAUUCUUCUUAACUGUUUUGAUGAGGGCCUACUAACAAAUAUUUGCUUCGUGAACCAUGUGAUGUGUGUGUAUUUAUCCCCACUUAAAAGUGAAUGUUUUGUUAGAACACUGGAUACUGCGUUAUUUACCAAGAGAAAACGUUUCAUAUGGACUUGUAGUGCAUAUAAGCACUGUUGUUUGUAUAGUUAGCGGGAGGUAAUGCUUUGCCAUCGCCACUGGGACUACCAUAUCACGUGAUUUCGACCUUCUUUGGCCUCGUCAAUGGUAGACGCUCGAAGCGUGGCAAAUAACGCAGUAUUCCGUGUUUUAAUGCCACAUCCACUUCUAAGUGGCAUAAAUAUUACCUUUUGGUAUUGAAACUGCUUCUGUCGCUAAUAAUUUUAUAUUGAACACACGUACAUACAUAUACACUCUUGCAAAUAUAUAUUCUUUGCCUCUAUAGUAGUGUUUUAGAGAGAAUAAUCUAGGAAAAAAAUUGGUAAAAUUCAGAUUUGGUCAUACAGUUCGAAUUCUUUUUACUACUCAGUGAAUCGUAAAAAUUAAAAUUUGAUUAAUUUUUUUUAUCACAUUGUUCCUAUCUUUCAUUGGGGUUAGGGGCUGGGGAAGGACGCUGGAGAAGUACAAAUAUAAUAAGGAUCAAAUCAAGAAAUGGUACACGACAAAAUAUCUUGUAUUUAGGUAUGUCUCUACGUUCUGCGUUUGGAUCCUGUUGAGAUCACUUUGUCAUUAACACUUCUAUGAUUGAUAAAGUAACAUACCAGUUAUACACUGGAGUUCAUUUGAUAGUUCCCUCCUUUAAGAAUCUGUGACAUUUUUCCUAAGUUUGAAACGAGUAUUAUAUUAUUCUAGGGUAUUGUACCUUAAUGAGUAAAAGAAUCUUCCCCUCUCUCCCCUUAAGAUUGUGGGUAAGGUUCCUUGUGAUAUUUAACAAUUUUGGGGAAAAGAAACAUUAAAUUCCUUUCCAGUGCUUCUUAUCUGUUGACUCCCAAUAUUUGGGGUCAAAAGGUAAAUGACAUACCUGUAUAUAGAGAAAUAAUUAACCUUUCACUAAGACGCUUGCUUGUCAAAUGACUUUAGACAGCAUAAUUAAUAUUUCUAAUUAUUAACAUUAGAAAUAUGGAUUCUUUAUUCAAAAUUUGUUCAGGGGGCUCAUUUUGAUGUUUUUUCGGGAUUUGGGGGGUUGUUUUGAUUUAAUUGAUAACAAUAGUAGUUCUAAGAAGUAUUUUUUUUUCUUUAAACACGGCAGGUUUACAUCUUAAAAGCGUUACGUUAGAGGUAUAAUGGUAUCAGUCUUGAACAAGAAUUGAAUAUGAAAUAGUUUUAUGUGAAUCUAUAAAGAAAAUCAAAGUUUCCUCUCUAAAAUCUCUCUCUUUCAGCCUGUUAUAAUACUGUAUUGUAAUAACAAUUUUCUUUUUCCUCAAAGAUGCAUUCUAAAUGAUGCCAAUUUUGAAACCUUCAUUUUACUCAGAUCUUAGAACGUUUUUCUUGAAAUAUAAUUAAAAAAUAUUAAAAAAUUCAAUAAAUGAACUAGAUGUCCAUAAUUUUAUAAGUAUAGAACGAAGAAACCGUAUUCAAUGAUUGGUCAACUUAGUAAUUUUCUUUCUUUCUUAAUCUGUAGCCUGUUUUGGGACGCUAAAAUUCUCUACUAACUUUCAUCCAUAGAGAAACGCAGAACUUUCUUUUUGUAUAAAAUAUAGAAAUCAUCAAGAUAUGUAGAUACUUUUGGGCUUAGGUCCAAAUUUCAUAUUCAGAUUAUUUGAAUAAAAUUUUGUUUUUAAAAAAAAUAA